UACGUAGGGUGCGAGCGUUGUCCGGAAUUACUGGGCGUAAAGAGCUCGUAGGCGGCUCGUCACGUCGGCUGUGAAAACCCGGGGCUCAACCCCGGGCCUGCAGUCGAUACGGGCGAGCUAGAGUUCGGCAGGGGAGACUGGAAUUCCUGGUGUAGCGGUGAAAUGCGCAGAUAUCAGGAGGAACACCGGUGGCGAAGGCGGGUCUCUGGGCCGAUACUGACGCUGAGGAGCGAAAGCGUGGGGAGCGAACAGG
rnacentral:rRNA from 1 species